GCGGUCGUGGCGGAACUGGCAGACGCGCUAGACUUAGGAUCUAGUCUCUUAGAGGUGGGAGUUCAAGUCUCUUCGACCGCACCA
rnacentral:tRNA from 1 species